rnacentral:lncRNA from 1 species
UUAGAGCAACCGGAUAUUGUUUUUUUAGUGGAAUCUCAGCGUUUCCGAUGUGCCCAGCUAUUUCUUCCAAAGUUAGAGUUAGCUCAAAAUUCGAGAAGUGGAAAACAUUAUGUGUCGGGUCCCGGAAAGUAACCAGUUCUUUGAUGAUAUCACCCCGAGGGUUGAUGUCUAAUAAACCCGUGAGACCCUUUAGAUAUUUCUUCACUUAAUCUUGCCUCUAUUUGCCCAAGUCAUUCCACCAUAAUUUCAACUCGAAAUGGACUUUGGUCAUUAUUGAAAAAGGUUCAUUUUCCUUUGUGCUCAUCCU